GCAAGAGGCGUCGGACAGACCACACUUACCUCGGCCGUGCGGUGGGCUUUGCACUUCCGCCACCGACAGCCAUGCUGCACUGAUGCUUCGUGCGCGAGAAAGAAGGCCACAGCACUAGUAUUGUGCCAAGAGGCUGUUAGGCCUCGAAGAAAAGAGAAUGAGUGCGCACGCGCGUGGGAAUGAGCAAGAGGGAUAGAGAAAACAAGUCCACCUUGUAUGCAUACCACGUAUCCAGGCCAUGUUUGUCGAGAUUUAAAUUGCCAUGCGCCGUCCAUUGCCUACCAUCCCCAAAAGGAACUGGCAUGCCAGUGUGCAGAUGAUGUAGGUUGGAGAUGUCGCUGCGAGCAGACAAAGCCAGCAGACUGAUCUACGGCAGGUCACGUCCUCUCACUGGACACGGUCACACACAAAGCUAGCAGCAGCUUGCAGAGUGGCGUUACCGCCUGUAGUCUAUGCCGGAAAUGUAUGGUCCACGCGGUUUGUUUUCGUUCAGACAACAAUCUUCGGUCGUUGGACAGGACCGUCAGGCUCGCCGAGACUAACAGCGGAGAACUUCGCAAGAGGCUAAGCGUUGGUCUCGGCAGACGGACAGCAAUCCACCUAUACACGUCCAUGCUGUGACGACCUGCACACGACUUUUAUAGCCCUGUCCUUAACCCUGACCCUGUCCCGGUAUAAAAAUCAUACACUGAGUGCAGCUGACAUGUCUGAUGUAGUGGUUACAGAGCAUCGGGGCGGGUGCCCUCAAAGGAAAGGCUGGUUUUAAAGUUUUAUUGUGAGCUAAGUCAAAUAGCUUCCCUUUACACAAUAAAUUCGGUAAGUGAACUCUGUUAUGUGCUCAUUUGGUGUCCAUUCCAUUAUCACUAGGUUUGUUGUGUGGGAUUAGCGUGGGAUUUUUUUUUUACGUAGCUUAGAAUUGUUAUACCGGAACGCAAGAAAAACCACUUUGCUCAGCCCUUCUCUGGGAUACCAGAACAGUACUGUUAGCCCAACUGUUCACCAGCGAGAUCGGAUGAUAACACGUUAAUCGUUUGACUAAAAUCAUUCAAUUGACCCCAACGUUCUGUAGCACCAACUUAACCUCAAGGUUGAAGCACUCCACUACAGGGGCAGAUGAAGCCUUUUUUUUCAUGCGUCAACGAGUAAACACGCAGGCACGACAAGUAUAUCCCCCCACCUUCCCCUAACCAACCUGCACAAAACGUCCGUCGGCUAAGGAAGUAAUGUUGAACUGGCAUGGGUGUGUGCCCCUGAACACCGAGCUAUUCCAUAAAUUCAAGGGAGAUGACAAGUGAUAGUCCUAAGGCGGGUAAUUACAUGUGAUAGUGAAAUGUAUCGUGUACGGUAUACACAUCGUGGGGCUGGGCCUCAGUUUCACCAGGCAAUGUUCCUGGCCAUAUGUAGGCAUGGCGUGGGUAGAGAAGCAGAGAACCUAAGCACCAGUUAUGGACUAUGGUUGUUGGACUUCUAGAGAGAUCAAAGAGGAGGAAGGGAGAGAAUGAGAGGUCAGGGGAGAGAAACACGCUCUCUAUACAAGUUCUGUUGUGAAAGCCAGUGUUCUACCUCGAAAUGCUCGCAGCCGCUACCUAGCUUCUAUGCAAAAUUUCUAAGCUGAUCUUUAACUUGGUUUGACGAAGAGAGUCUGAGACUUCCCCACGUUCCUCGCAUUUAUGCCCAGCGGCUAACCUACCCCGACAGUAGUACAAGAGGUACUCAAUGCUUCUUGGUCAUAAUCAAGAGCCGUUGAUCGCAUCCCUUAGUGGCGUACACGUGUAAUGCUGCGGUAAAACAGAGAAAGUGAUUGCAAGCAGCCCAAUAAUGUGUAUGUAACCAUCUCGAUAUGCAGCGAUGAAUUUUGUGUGUGUGUGUGUUAUUUGGAUAAAAUCCAUUCGCGAUUCAUCUGGUUCCAUAGGAAAAUGAGUGCUUAGUAGUUGAAGCGAAGAUGCUCUUUGGCUGAAGAACACGCGAACCUCCUGCUUUCUAUCUUUCUUUCCAUCCAUCCCAUAAUCACACCACUGGAAAUUUCAUAGCCUAGACUAUCUUCUCCGCCUAUAUUUCAAAUGGCUACGAGUGACCUUCCUGGCAACUUGACAAAACGUACUCUAAUCCCAAACUUACAAAAAUAAAUAACCGAUUAUAGACACUAGCUUCCAUAGUCUUUAAUUUCACUUCAAAGAUAAAUAAACUGUUUUGUGUGCAAUCCUGAACCAGUUAGGGUGGAGGGGUUUCCAGCUGCUGUGCAAGGGGGUGUAAUUAUCAUUAUCUGAUGUGCGCCUGCCUGCAAGAAAAAAGAACUGCGCUCUCGUUUUCUGCUGGUGUUAUCAAGUUAGAUUUGGCACCGGCAUUGAGGGGAAAAAAGCAAGCCAUACUCGCGGUAUGUUCCAGAAACGUAAACAAUUGGGCGUUCAUCUUGUCCUCAGAUGGUGCCAGUCGGUCGAGAGAUUUUGCAUCGUACGCAUCAAAACACCCUUCUCCGUGCCUCGGAACGACCUCCAUCCGAGGACCGGAGGAAGUAGGGUGAAAGAAUAGAACAGUGGGCUCGACGGAUGAUUAUUAUUAGAAAUAUGUUUGACCGUUAGAACAGAAGUUCUAAACGUCUUGACAGAGAACAGCAAGCAAUGGAAAUAAUGCAAAAAUGAGUAAAUCUGAAACAAAUGCACACCAUAUAGGUGACAGACGCGUAAAGAUCUGAUAAUUAUGAAAGUUAUUGAAGGAAGAAGUUUUGUGUUUUAAAAAGUGGAUUUUAAAUAAUGGGAUCGCAAAAUAAAGAUAAGCAGCACUCGGACCUUUUCAAUCUGAUAUACAGUACAAAGAAGAAGCACGAAUAAUCGAAGAGAUCCGUUCUGUCCGUAUCAGAGCUGUUCAUUGUGUGAAGAGGUUACAGGACAUUACCAGUGCACGCAGCAUAGUUCUGCACUCUUCCAAUGAGGCAGUUAAAAUUCAGUUUGUGAGACAGGUUAAUAAUGUUGUUCGUAUGAUUCAUUCAAGGAUAAUUGUAAAUGCUCUAUUUCAAAGUCAAUUGCAAUGCAGUAGUCUUUAUGUGCAUGUGAAGUUGGACUCUUAGAACACCUCAUAUUCAGAUAAUGGAAAGAAGUGUUUCUCAUCAGAGGAACAGUUAUAGGCACAACUCUCAUUCCAAAUGAGCAAAGGGGAAAAGGAAAGAGAGAACGGGGUGUGUAGGAGAAGUCUAAGCAAGAUGUUUGUUAUGGCAUCAGAAAGUUUGUUAAAUAUUUACUGUCUGUACUGCGGAUUAAAACGACUGGAAUGAAGGUCAAGGCACACACUACAGCAGCCCGACAGAGACGACACCUUGAGUGACCCACUUGCCGCAGGGACAUCUGACUAUCUGAUUGCUGAUGUACUACUGAUACGCCUGGCUCACCUGAGACUUGUGAAGUUUAGGCUGUUCGUGUUGAUCUACAUCGUGUUAAAAAUGUGGACUGGAAGUAAAACAAAUCUCAAUCAUAAGCCGGGGAUCAGGCCCAUCCAGUGCCGUAGGGAGGUUUGAUGCGCGCGGAUCGACAGGCGGCUGUUUAUAAGACUUGUAAAUCGCACCGGUCCCAUGAAAAUAGUCAAGUCGUUUGAUUGUGACGUCACGCGCACCUUUCUCUGGCGAUUCUGGCAUCUACGCGAUUCGAUGAGUGCUUGAUGCAUGGCGAGACGAGAGACAGCACAAUAAAGCUGAGAAAUGUGACCCGAGUGCAGCCUUGCAGUCCUCAAAGCCAUCCUCGCCGUCAGUCUCGAUAAGUCAUACUCACCCUCCAUGUUCAUGUUCAGGAAUAAAAAGCAUUUGACAGUCAAGCCAAAAACUUUACGUUUGCAGCAAUGCGCACGUUAAAAAAUUCCCCCCCCCCAAAAAAAAAAAAAAACAACCCACCA
rnacentral:lncRNA from 1 species